GGGCCGUUAGCUCAGUUGGUAGAGCACCUCUUUUGCAAAGAGGGGGUCGCAGGUUCGAAUCCUGUACGGUCCA
rnacentral:tRNA from 1 species